rnacentral:rRNA from 1 species
AGGAUGAACGCUAGCUACAGGCUUAACACAUGCAAGUCAGGGGCAGCAUGAGAGUAGCUUGCUACUCUGAUGGCGACCGGCGCACGGGUGCGUAACACGUAUCCAAUCUACCCGAUGGCUCGGGAAUAGACCUUUCGAAAGAAAGAUUAAUGCCCGAUGGUCUGUGAUUGAGACAUCUCGAUGACAGUAAAGAUUAAUCGGCGAUGGAUGAGGAUGCGUCUGAUUAGGUAGUAGCGGGGUAACGGCCCACCUAGCCGACGAUCAGUAGGGGUUCUGAGAGGAAGGUCCCCCACAUUGGAACUGAGACACGGUCCAAACUCCUACGGGAGGCGGCAGUGAGGAAUAUUGGUCAAUGGACGAGAGUCUGAACCAGCCAAGUAGCCGUGCAGGAUGACGGCCCUAUGGGUUGUAAACUGCUUUUAUACAGGGAUAAAGUGACGUACGUGUACGUUUUUGUAGGUACUGUAUGAAUAAGGACCGGCUAAUUCCGUGCCAGCCGCCGC